rnacentral:rRNA from 1 species
UGAAAUGNNAGUUAUAGAGUACAGGGNCUAAUGUCUUGUAAUUGGAAAUGAUGGUCCACUUAAACCCUCACCAGAAGUAGCAAUUGGAGGGCAAGUCUGGUGCCAGCAGCCGCGGUAAUUCCAGCUCCAAUAGCGUAUAUUAAACUUGUUGCAGUUAAAAAGCUCGUAGUUGUAUUUUUGCUUGGCGGUUUGUUGCCUUUGUGGCUGUAUCCCGCUUGGCUUUUGGCUUUUUGCCUUAUUACUUUGAGAAAAUUAGAGUGUUUCAAGCAGACUUUUGUCUUGAAUACUGUAGCAUGGAAUAAUAGAGUAGGACUUUGGUUCUAUUUUGUUGGUUUGGGAACCUUGGUAAUGGUUAAUAGGAACGGUUGGGGGCAUUCGUAUUUAAAU